UCGGCGCCUCCCACGCACAGGAUAUUUCUGUGGAAAAAAAAGCUUUUGCGUGCCUGCCCUGUCCUAUCCUCUCCCCUCUGCACCGCGUUCUUCGGCCCGCCUCGCCUCAUUACCGGCCGCCAGCCAUAUCUCACCGGCCGCCGUCCUCUCCCCAUCCAAGGAUCGUGCCUGAUCCGCUCUCCCCGUCGCGUGUGCUGCUCCGCCGCUUUCUAAACCUCUUCGUCCCAGACAUCAUCUCAGACGAUCUGACCGACGAGUUGCGAGACGAGGUUGCUCUCGCCUCCCUCCGUUCCCGACAUCUCACUCCACUCGCCAACCAUGCCGCAUCCGCCGUCUAUGUUGCGUCCGCCGUCCUCUAGGUAGAUAGGGAUAAAGCUCCUCUCCGACGAUGGUACUGCACUGCACCCAUGUCCGCCUCCAUCGCUGGAAACGAACUGGCCCCAAACUCCUUCCUUCAUCCCUGAUCCCGUCCAUCACUUCCAUCAUGAUAUAGAAAAGCAGCACUUCGUGUUUUUUGAUUCUACAGGAUCGUCUUGCCUCUGGAUCCAGUUCUUCUUCUCAGCCAUGUCUUUCUCUGUACAUAUUUUUGUAAUACAUGGUGGGAAUUUGGUGCUCUGUAUGACUAUUUAUGUACCCAGCAGCUGAGGCUGUACAAGUACCUCAAGGACAUUAUCUCCUGGUCGAGCAUCAGGCGAUGAGACAACCAUCAUUGUCAAGCAGACAUGUAGCGGCAAUCACACUAAUCCCCCAGAUGUGUCGUUACAAAAUCAACACUUAAAUACAAGGAACAUCACAGAAAAAUACUUGGCAGUUUAUCUUCAUGUUGCAUAGGCCAGGAAAAGGCUCUCAUUUGGGCUGCUGCUCCCGGAGAGAUUUUUUCCAUCUAGCCAGGACCGAUGCAUGUGUCUGCUAGCCAUGGAUUGGAAAAAAUAUUGCCUGUUGGCAAAUAGUAUGCAGCCGCCAAAAGGACUAUUGGUGCAGCAUGACUUAAGAGAUACAAUUAGGGAUUUGCAAGAAGUGGAAAAUGGUUGAAGUAAACUCAAUACUUGAAGUCACUCUUACUCCAACGUCAUUCUCUUUUUCUUAUCUUUUUGCGCUUGAUGCCCAUGUUAAGUUUCCUUCCUUUUGAUACAGUAUGUAGUUUAACCUGUCGCUUGGUUCGCAUAGAAUGAUCACAUGUUAAAGGAGAUGAAUGAAUUCAAUCUCAGAAUGUGGAAACAUAUUCCAAAGCGACCUAGCUGUGACUGGCAUCACCAACCAGAUGAGAAGGUUAAGCCGUGCGCCUAGGCAAAUGGUAGACUUGAUAUCUUGGUGCUUGCCUAACAACGCUAAAAGGCACAACCAGUGGAAAUGGCUCUAUGGGGGGCUGGUUUGGCAAUGGGAAAGGUUGGCAUGUGCUUCCACCCUGAUUGGGGGAGGGUCAGAAUGCGCACGGUCUUAUGUGAGCUAAGAUGCUUUAGGUCCAUCCCCUCUUCACUUCAUACAAUAAACCUAAAACACGUCCAAGAUACAGAGGAUGGUAGACAAUCCUUUUCGAAUUUAUCCAUGUAUGCAGGGAUUCCUUGCAGCUACCAGUUUGUGGGACCAUUCAGAGUAAGCAUACGCAGAUCGGCAAUGUCGCCUCUCGGCUUUGCACUUGGGAGGAUGGUGAAGGAAGCCAUUGGUGUGAAGCGCCAACAUGCAUAACCAUGUCCAGGAGAUGGAUAUCUAGAUGAUCUGCACGUAUUUAGUACUAUGAGUUUAUCUCGAUUGCACACGGCUAACUUUUAUGAAAUUGUUGAGUUAAUUGUGAUGGCCGCCCCAUGGACACUAGCAUGGACACCAUAAUUGCAAUUGUAUGCUCAAACUUUAUUUACUGAUUGCAAUUUUAUGCUCAAACUUUACCAACUUUAUUAGCUAAAAAAUUUCAUGUCAAUUUCA